AAAGGUUUAGACUUAAACUAACUAACAUAACAGAAGUUUGGAAUAAUUUAGGAAGAAAAGCAUUCCCUGGAGAGUUAGGUUCACUGGGGUGGUUCCUCAUGCAAAAGACACGGCUCUGGUCAGAUGGUUCAUUUCCUCGCGUUAGAGAUUCAACAUAUAGUCAAUUCUCUAACCGGUGUUGUACAGAGACUCCUUCAAUUAGAUUUCACUUUAAUUCUCUCACUGAUGCAACUUGCAAU
rnacentral:lncRNA from 1 species